UCACUUCUUGGCCUUUUGGCUAAGAUCAAGUGUA
rnacentral:snRNA from 1 species